AGAGAAUAACUAUAACUUUAUUCCAAUAAUUAAUGCAUGAAAACCAAAUUGAACAUGAAAUAAUUCAGGUCCCAAAUUAAACAUGAAAACCAACCUCAAGUACCAAAUUGAGAUAAAAAUCUCAAAUACAAAAUAGGACAUUCAAACCAAAUAUAAGUGCCACAUAGUAAAUUAACCCCUUAAUAAAUAAUACAAAACCAAAGAAAAAAAAAUUCUUCCUUUUUCUCAUUACUUUGUACUCUUUCUUUCUCACCCACCGUCCAUGCCAAAAAAGAAAAAGCUAGCUGUUUAAAAUCUAA
rnacentral:lncRNA from 1 species